rnacentral:lncRNA from 1 species
AAGCUUCAGUCAACACCCCUAAAGGACUGCCCCCAGUGCAGGAGUGACAGUGGCCAUCUGCUGAGUUAAGACGUGAGUCUGUCUCUCUGUGUGAGUCCACUGUGCCACCAGCCCUCGCUGGACGGCAGCAGAGUGUCAUCCCUGGGGCCCCAAGAACAAGGUCAGGUGGAAGCAGAGGUGGCGACAGGCUUCUCCUUAACACUGGAAGGCACAGCCACUUGUUACUCCUGAGGCUGCCUGGGAUGGGUGCAGUGGCCUGGUAUGAGGGUGGUAGGUGCUGUGUCCCUGGGGAGGUGCCUGGGGCUGGUUCACAGGGGUGCAGCCGGUCACAGAGGGAGGCAGGUGGAGGUUGAUCCUCCAAGACCAGCACCCUGUGUACACUCAGUCUUCGACACCUUCCCCACCACCUCCCCAUGCCCACCUCGAGAGCCAGCCCCUCCCUGCCUCAUCACUGGGGGAGGGGUACUGUCUCUGGACCACGCUGGAUGCAUGCACCUACAACCAUUUUCCGGGGCCCCCCGACACACCUAACACGCAAAUAAAGCCACAGCAGAGCCCAUGGGAGUGUGUUGAGUAAGAGCCACAUUUAUUUCUUAAUUGGACAGAGCCUCAAGUGCACACACAGUACAGGAGCCUAGGGCUAACACUCGGGUGUAAGACAUCGGGACGGGCAUCGUGACGUCGGGACGGCAGCUAUGACAUGGGGUCUGGGGUGUGCCCACAGCAAUCACAUAUGUACAAGCCAGGGACGCGCCCUCUGAGCCACAGGGGAACCAGGGGACGGACUAACUACAGGAAGCACAGGCCCAGGGAGAAACGCAGGUCGCCACAGCUGCUGUCCGUCUGGGGGACCGCACGGCCCGGCACCGGGGGUAAGGGAGUGUGCCUUCCGUGGUCCCCACAUGGGUGAGGCUGGCAUAGGACCAGUGCAGCAGCACAGUAAACACCUGUGACAUCAGCCCCACCAGGGCCCCAGGUGCUGGGGACUCCAGGGACCAGGGUUGACAGGGAGGGCCACCUCAUCACAGCCGUCCUGGGUGGGGGAG